GGCCGGAUAGUUCAGAGGUAGAAUGUCCGCUUUGGGAGCGGGAGGUCCCGAGUUCGAGCCUCGGUUCGGCCC
rnacentral:tRNA from 1 species